CUGCGAACCGUUCGAUUGAAAGUCAACAUUUGCGAAUGCACUCGUAAAUUUAUAAAUAUAUAUAUUUCUGUAUUACGAUAUAAUAAAAUACACGUGGAAAAAAAAAUGGCUAUAUUAUUAUAUUGGAUUUUCGUAUACUAAUAUUAUUUUUGAAUUUCGUUCCGGAGAUUUUUUUUUUUUUUUUUUUAUUUUAUUUCCGUACACUUUUUAUUGCAUGUUAGAAUACGAUUUCGUAAAUUUCUCGUCCGUGUGAAAAUUGACAUAUUUCUCCGGAAUAAUAAACUUGCCGAUUGUGAAAUUAUCAUUAGACGCGAUCAACUGAUUAUUCGUCGAAAUCGACUUUUCGCGCAAGUAUUUCGGUCAAGUAUUAUUUUUUUUACGUCCACCGCGAUCCGGAAAUUAUUCUCCGUUGAUUUUUGUCCGCCUACCAAAAAGACAACAAAGUAUACUUUUUUACUUUCUUUUGUUUCUUUCGUUGUUUUUUUUUUUAUUAUUAUUAUUAUUGUCGAUUCCAC